rnacentral:misc_RNA from 1 species
GUCGUCUUUUGCGUAUAAAACUCGCUGAUCAAAACACAGCCUACAGAUCAUCGAGAUGGCAUCACUGAAACUGACCGCUCCGGCUAGCCAGUUGAUCGCCGGCGGCAGCCACGGCCGCCGCCCGUUGGAUCGGCCGGCGGCGUCCGUCCGCCCCGCCACCCGGCGGGUUGCGGUGCGGCCGAUCAGGGCCGGAUCGUACACCGACGAGCUCGUCCAGACCGCGAAA